GCCACUGUAGCUCACUGGCAGAGCAUUGGUCUUGUAAACUAGGGGUUGUGAGUUCAAUUCUCACAAGAGGCA
rnacentral:tRNA from 1 species